GUAACACCUUCGUUAUUGGUACACAUAAGCCUUCUGUAGAAGUUUUAUCAUUUACUUCCGAUAAGGGCCUGAGUGUUCUUGCUGUAGGGUCUAUAACCUUAACAAACACUCUUGGGACAACUGUAAGUGGCUGCAUCCCUCAAGACAUAAGACUUGUACUCGUCGAUCGGCUGUAUGUUCUUUCAGGAUUGAGGAAUGGUAUGCUACUCAGAUUUGAGUGGCCUUCUAUCUCGGCAAUUUACUCACUAGUCUCACCUGGCCUUCAGACUUUUGACAAUUCUUGUAUGGCUAAUUGCAUUAGUUCCUCAACUUCUGCAUCUCAGAAUUUUAGAAGUCAACCUACACAAGUGACCAGUUUAUUGGAUAAGACGAAGGAUUUUCCUGUUUAUCUGCAGUUAGUUGCAGUUCGUCGGAUUGGCAUCACUCCUGUUUUUCUGAUUCCAUUAAAUGAUUCUCUUGAUGCUGAUGUGAUCGCUCUAAGUGAUAGGCCCUGGCUAU
rnacentral:misc_RNA from 1 species